GGGGCAGCAUGGUCUUAGCUUGCUAAGGCCGAUGGCGACCGGCGCACGGGUGAGUAACACGUAUCCAACCUGCCGUCUACUCUUGGACAGCCUUCUGAAAGGAAGAUUAAUACAAGAUGGCAUCAUGAGUCCGCAUGUUCACAUGAUUAGAGGUAUUCCGGUAGACGAUGGGGAUGCGUUCCAUUAGAUAGUAGGCGGGGUAACGGCCCACCUAGUCUUCGAUGGAUAGGGGUUCUGAGAGGAAGGUCCCCCACAUUGGAACUGAGACACGGUCCAAACUCCUACGGGAGGCAGCAGUGAGGAAUAUUGGUCAAUGGGCGAGAGCCUGAACCAGCCAAGUAGCGUGAAGGAUGACUGCCCUAUGGGUUGUAAACUUCCUUUAUAAAGGAAUAAAGUCGGGUAUGCAUACCCGUUUGCAUGUACUUUAUGAAUAAGGAUCGGCUAACUCCGUGCCAGCAGCCGCGGUAAUACCGGAGGAUCCGAGCGUUAUCCGGAUUUAUUGGGUUUAAAGGGAGCGUAGAUGGAUGUUUAAGUCAGUUGUGAAAGUUUGCGGCUCAACCGUAAAAUUGCAGUUGAUACUGGAUAUCUUGAGUGCAGUUGAGGCCAGGCGGAAUUCGUGGUGUAGCGGUGAAAU
rnacentral:rRNA from 1 species